UGCUCACGUGGUGGCCGCCGGGAGGGAGGGUCUGUUUACUCCUUUUCUUUCUCGCUGGAAAGAGGAGAGAGCAGCUCGCGCGACGCGAGAACCGGCGCACCUUUCCUUCCUUUCUUUUUUUCUUCUCUCUUUCUUCCUUCAGCCCGUGGUGUCGCCAGUCGGCGGCACUCGCAAGAAGGACCCGGACUUCCUGCGACUGCAGCCGGCUGGGACGGUAGCUUGAAAAGAGAGAAAGAGUGCUCGGCGGUUGUUGGGUUUUGGCUUUGCAAGAAAACAAGAGAACAGCCAGCCAAUUAAUGCUUGGCUAGCUAGAACUCUGUGCAGGAUAUAUUGGCAUUUUUGAAGUUGAAAGAUGCUCAAGUGGUAUGAAAGCUUUCAUGAAUUCUCUUAUGAGUUGUGAAGCCAGUAACUCUGUAAAAGUUGCUGACUAACUACGCCCAGCAUCCUUCUCCAUUGGCCAUGCUAGCUGAAGCUAUUGGAAGUUGUAGCUCAUCAAUAUCUGGAGGUUAUUCAGAAGUAGUGUGAUUUGAAGCAAUGGAUGAACAGUCACAAGGCCUGCCAGGUCCUCCUGUGUCUCAGUUUCAAUCACAGAAAGCCUUACGACCUGACAUGGGCUACAAUACUUUAGCCAACUUUCGGAUAGAAAAGAAGAUUGGCCGUGGACAGUUUAGUGAAGUGUACAGAGCUACGUGCUUGUUGGAUGGUGUGCCAGUAGCUUUAAAAAAAGUG